rnacentral:rRNA from 1 species
GAUGAACGCUGGCGGCGUGCCUAAUACAUGCAAGUCGAGCGAACGGACGAGAAGCUCGCUUCUCUGAUGUUAGCGGCGGACGGGUGAGUAACACGUGGAUAACCUACCUAUAAGACUGGGAUAACUUCGGGAAACCGGAGCUAAUACCGGAUCAUAUUUUGAACCGCAUGGAUCAAAAGUGCAAGACGGCCUUGCUGUCACUUAUAGAUGGAUCCGCGCUGCAUUAGCUAGUUGGUAAGGUAACGGCUUACCAAGGCAACGAUGCAUAGCCGACCUGAGAGGGUGAUCGGCCACACUGGAACUGAGACACGGUCCAGACUCCUACGGGAGGCAGCAGUAGGGAAUCUUCCGCAAUGGGCGAAAGCCUGACGGAGCAAUGCCGCGUGAGUGAUGAAGGUCUUCGGAUCGUAAAACUCUGUUAUUAGGGAAGAACAUAUGUGUAAGAAACUGCGCACGUCUUGACGGUACCUAAUCAGAAAGCCACGGCUAACUACGUG